AUUGAACGCUGGCGGCAGGCCUAACACAUGCAAGUCGAACGAGUGGCGGACUGGUGAGUAAUGUCUGGAAAACUGCCUGAUCGAGGGAGAUAACUACUGGAACCGGUAGCUACUCACGCCUACCACCCGAUCUGCCCAUAUGGGAUUAGCUUGUUGGUGGGGUAACGGCUCACCAAGGCGACGAUCCAUAGCUGGUCUGAGAGGAUGAGCGGCCACACUGGAACUGAGACACGGUCCAGACUCCUACGGGAGGCAGAAGUGGGGAAUAGUGCACAAUGGGCGAAAGCCUGAUGCAGCCAUGCCGCGUGUAUGAAGAAGGCUUUCGGGUGGUAAAGUACUUUCAGCGGGGAGGCGUUACCUGCAGAAGAAGCACCGGCUAACUCCGUGCCAGCAGCCGCGGUAAUAC
rnacentral:rRNA from 1 species